CCGGAAUGGGUAUAGGUGCUGGCGCUUGGCCUUUGGUGUAUCCCACAGGACCAGCUGGUCUUUGAUACAGCUGUGGUCCUCCGGCGUAAACAUCUUCGUAGUCGCCGUUUCCUCGAGCAUUCCUGGGCUUUAUGCUUCUACCGGAUUGUUGAGGUGGCUGCGUUACCCUGGUACCAUAUAUGAGACUGUUCCUGUCGUACUCGGACAUUGGACUCUUGCUGCUCAACCUGGCAUCCGGGGAGACUGGCGACUUCCUGUAAUCCGGAUCUGGCGACGGCGUCGAAUACUCAUUGGAGCCAUCGUUGAAUGAGAGAAAUCAGCCGAAACGUGAUUCUGGGUAAAACCCGAGGAGUUGGCGAAUGGCUGCAUCAAUGAGCAUAAGACCCUCGGAGCCCUGCUUGUGGAGCCACCCCUGCAAUGCAACAGGGGCGGAUAAAGGCCUCUUGGCAGCCGGUGAUCGAAGUCCCUGGGGUCCACUUCGUCUGCGCACCCCUGAGACAGCGGCAGCAACCCCUGGACCAUCGCCGCCGCUCUUUCGCCGCACCUGAAGGGACGCGGCUGGCGUCGCCAUCUGGACGACCUGAAAUACGAGAAAUGGCGCAAACACCUUUAUUAUAUAACUAGCGUGAGUUGAACAGGAUUCAUACUUUUUGUCAUCAAUGUAUUUAUUCUUUCUUUUUGUCAUUUUCUUCUUCUUUUUCUUUCUGGCGGAAUUAUUCAGAACUAAGGAAAAGUGUUCCCCACAAAAAUGUAAUUUUUUGGAGUAACUUGUGCUUAUUGGGAUAACUCCAAUGCAUUAGAGCUAUUCAUAACGAAUUAUCCAGGGAAACGAAAUAUUUUUUAUAACUGAAUAAUAUGCCUUUGAAUUUUACUUAUUGCGUUUAAUUAAUUUGACAAGAGAUGUAAUUAAAUUGUAAUAAAUCAACACGAAUAAAAUAUGACUACAUACAUAGAA